rnacentral:rRNA from 1 species
CACGUAGGGUGCGAGCGUUGUCCGGAAUUAUUGGGCGUAAAGAGCUCGUAGGCGGUGUGUCGCGUCGGCCGUCAAAACCUGCAGCUUAACUGUGGGCUUGCGGUCGAUACGGGCAUCACUGGAGUUCGGCAGGGGAGACUGGAAUUCCUGGUGUAGCGGUGAAAUGCGCAGAUAUCAGGAGGAACACCGGUGGCGAAGGCGGAUCUCUGGGCCUUACCUGACGCUCAGGCGCGAAAGCUAGGGGAGCGAACAGG